CANAGCUUAAUUGUUCUAACGCCUAAUUACUAAACUUCCAUCUUAAUCCUUCACUAAUACUGAGUAAUUCUAUAUUCUUAUAGAAAAUUUUAUGUUAAAACUAGUAAUAAGAAGAAGAUUCUUCUCUUUAAUGUAAGUGUAAAUCAGAAAGGACAAACCACUGAUAUUUAACGUCACUGAGUUAAAAGUAAAAACUUAUCAAGAAAACUCUACUUCCAUCAACGUUAACCUAACACAAGAACAUUUCAAGAAAGAUUAAAAGAAAAAGAAGGAACUCGGCAAAUAUUAACCUCGCCUGUUUACCAAAAACAUCGCCUCUUGAAUACUCAUAAGAGGUCCAGCCUGCCCAGUGACCAUGUUCAACGGCCGCGGUAUC
rnacentral:rRNA from 1 species